UGGGGAAUUUUGGACAAUGGGCGAAAGCCUGAUCCAGCAAUGCCGCGUGUGUGAAGAAGGCCUUCGGGUUGUAAAGCACUUUUGUCCGGAAAGAAAUCCUUGGCUCUAAUACAGUCGGGGGAUGACGGUACCGGAAGAAUAAGCACCGGCUAACUACGUGCCAGCAGCCGCGGUAAUACGUAGGGUGCAAGCGUUAAUCGGAAUUACUGGGCGUAAAGCGUGCGCAGGCGGUUUGCUAAGACCGAUGUGAAAUCCCCGGGCUCAACCUGGGAACUGCAUUGGUGACUGGCAGGCUAGAGUAUGGCAGAGGGGGGUAGAAUUCCACGUGUAGCAGUGAAAUGCGUAGAGAUGUGGAGGAAUACCGAUGGCGAAGGCAGCCCCCUGGGCCAAUACUGACGCUCAUGCACGAAAGGCGUGGGGAGCAAACAGGAUUAGUACCCUGGUAGUCCCACGCCCUAAACGAUGUCAACUAGUUGUUGGGGGAUUCAUUUCCUUAGUACGUAGCUAACGCGUGAAGUUGACCGCCUGGGGAGUACGGUCGCAAGAUUAAA
rnacentral:rRNA from 1 species